UACGUAGGGGGCUAGCGUUGUCCGGAAUCAUUGGGCGUAAAGCGCGUGUAGGCGGCCCGGUAAGUCCGCUGUGAAAGUCGAGGGCUCAACCCUCGAAAGCCGGUGGAUACUGUCGGGCUCGAGUGCGGGAGAGGCGAGUGGAAUUCCUGGUGUAGCGGUGAAAUGCGCAGAUAUCAGGAGGAACACCGAUUGCGAAGGCAGCUCGCUGGAACGUAACUGACGCUGAUGCACGAAAGCUAGGGGAGCAAACAGG
rnacentral:rRNA from 1 species